AUGAAAUGCUGCCUUCCUCGGGGCCACGAGAGGGCCAUGGCCCUUGGCCAGGGCAGAAUUGCCUCCAGUUCGCAGCCUGCCUGCUGCCAGGUGGACCGAUCAUCUUUGGUUUCCUGGAAACAGUCCACAAAUCAAUUUAAGAAAGAGCCAAGCUGCGGUUCCGGGACUUAGCCAACAUUCAUUGACCCUCCUGUACCUUGGACCAAAGGCAAGUCUUUGACCCAGUGAACAAUUUUUGAAGCCAGCACAAAGUUUUCAGGCUCUAGAUACUGCAUGUGUUAAGCUGAUGGAAAAGAGACUGUUUGAGCCUCCAAGGCAGACUGACCUUCCCAGUGACUGAGAAACUAGACCUCUGAUAAGUGAAUUCAUCCCUCUGGGCCUCACUGCCCCCACUGAAAAUGAGAUGUUUGGACCAAUCUUUGAAUAUGUGAUUCCCAAAGUGAGGAAUGCAGACACUGCUGGUGUGCAAGAUGAUUUUAGGAGUGCCAGCUUCUGAGGUGGUCGCCAGGAGCUAGGGGAAGAUGGAAACGGGAUGAUUCAAGUCCAGAAGCAGAUCUGUGCCUACUGUUGGGGUAGGCCAGGAAAGGUGACCCCAUGAGCCCUCCUUCCCUUUGCCUUCCAUCUGUUAUAAAUUGCCUUCACCUCAUGAUGCUUCAGCUGGGAGUCCAGACUGCAGCUGGCUUAAACAGAUUGCUGUGCUUGCAAAUAGCAAGACACUUCAGCCUGCAAAAUCAAACUUUAUCCCUUUUCUUAAAUAAGGAUGCAACUCCACUGUGUCAGUUCGGGCUUUACUUCUUGGGGUGUGACCUUGGAGUGACGCAGCGGGCAUCACCCAGACUCCCUGGGGCCACCCAAGUGAGCUGGCCAGGUGGGCAGCCUCAGCUGAGACUGUCUCCCCACCAGGCUGAGGUCUGCGGAUCAGGCUUCAUGGUUGGAGAGCUCCAGACAAGGAGCGGCAGGGCAGGUCCCUUGGGAAGACAGAAGUGUGUGAGGAGCCAAGGACCACCAUUCGCCAGCAAGGGUGGGGCCACCCAAACAUCCAGAUGGUGGAAUCAUGUAAUUUGAGACCCAGUGAGGAAAAGAGACAUGCCUGCGGUCAUCCCAGGAAUGUGUUAUCUCAUGCCAUCCUCUCAACAACCUACAGUAUCAGGGAGCUAAAGCGCAUGGAUAGGAUAACCUGCUCAGACUCUCACUCAGCUCAUGAGGCAUGGAGCCUGUGAGUUUAAUCCCACAUAGUCGGGAACCCUGGGCCCUUCACCUCGGUUCUAUGGUGCUUGUUGUUCCCAGACAUGAUGCUGAAAGGUGGUUUGGGGCCAAGACCUGAAAGAACUAGGAGUUUGGAUGGAUUUACCCUAUAGACAGAGGGGCGCCAUUAAUGGGUCUUAAGCCUCAAGACUGUGUUUUACAAAGAUAUUUCUGGUGGACUGGCUGGGGGAGGCUGGAGACAGGGAGGCUGGUGGGAGAGAUGUGGGGCACAGAUAACGUGGAUGACAGAGGCCUACGCAUACCCAUGUGCACGUGUGCUUGUGGGUUACGGGCCCUGGGCAGUCGGGAACAUUAGGAGUCUGGGGAGGCCUCCUGCCAUGCCCUUUUCACUGGGCAAGGGCCAUUUUUAUCUGCUACACGUCAGGCAAAACCUGUGCCAACUGCCCAAGACUGCACCUCAAAUCUAGCAAAUAAGAGAGAGGAUGGUGUGGAUUACGUUAUAUUUAAAACAAGUCCACACAAUGCCUGUAAUUUUUUAUUCUGACUCCGUAAUUACAGCCCAUGACCGGUCAGAUCAUAGUUAUCCCCACACCGACCCGCUGUUGAGACACAUUGAAUUAAAGGCUUUGCUGCUCCUUCAGAUUCUAUUUUGGACGCCAAGCACUGGCAGGUAACUGGCCUUUCACGAGACCCGUCUCAGUGGAGCCCCUCCCAGAGCAGCCUGCAUGAAGGCCAGGUCAGCACUGGGCCCUUGAGAAGACCCCUGAUGCUGUGAUGCUCUGCCCAGCCUGAGCCUUGGGCCAGAGCCAGGGCCUGGAGAGCUAUGGAGGCACCAUCCUUAGAGCAGGCCAACCUCCCAUGGUCAGGCCCAUCUCGGAGCUUCUGCACUCUGAAAGAUUCCUGCCCCAGACCUUGACCAGGGUCCCAGGGUCAGAUAGGCCAAGCCCUGGCCAUCGGGCACAGUUGUCACAUAUAGGCUGGCAUUGCCCAAAGGGGCCUGGUUUAGAAAAGAGGAGGAAAAAACACAAAGAGCACAAGCCAGCCAGGCUCACACAGGCAGCCCCUGUGACUAACCCGGCCUGGGAUCCACCAACGACCACCUCUCAGCCCCUGAUAGAGCAGGAGUGGGCUUGUCCCUGCCCACAGACCUGGAACCCCACUACCCUUCCUCCCCGUGCCCCCGGCCCCCACACACAGACCUGCCUCCAGGUGACCCUGGCAGGGAGAUCGACUAGCUCCCACUUUACAUAAACUGCAGGUCUGGGCUCUGUCGGAGGCGCUCCACUUGUAUCAUCCCAUUUACUCAUGUCACCCCUGCCAAGUAGGUGUGACUAGUGUUAUCGCAAUCUCCAGUUUAGACUUGAGGACGUGGAGCUGAGAGGUCAAGUGUGGGGCUUCAGGCCACUAGUUCAUGUGUGAAGGAGUGGGACCGGAGUCCGGUGGUCAACCUUCUCCCCAGACCUCAUGGCUCGUCCACAGGCAGCUGACCUGAAACCACCAGGCUUGCACCCAGCUGCUGGGUGGUGGUCUCACACCCGCCGGCAACUCGGUAAGCACUUGGGCCCAAGAAAGUCCAGUCCCAGUACCUGAGCACAACUCUCCUGCUACACACGGCUCCUUGCCUCAGCCAGCUCCCUGCUCCGACCCUUGCUCUCACGUCCCGCUAUAGAACAGACAGUUCCUUCCUCUGGCCUUUGAUGCAUCUUGCACACACUUCUGCACUUAUGUUUUUACAUCUAGGACAUUAUUGUCACUAUUCACAUGACUCUCCUACCAGACUUCUCAAAGGGAAGGGCCUGUGUCCUGCCUCUCAGUUACUAGUUUGACACCUGGGACAUAGUGGCUGCCUACUAUUUGUUGUAAGAAAAAAGGAGAGUCUGAAAAACUAUUCAUCCUUCAAAACUAUGGCUAGAUGGGACCUAAAUUAACUUAAAAUCUUUUGCAUAGCAAAGGAAACUAUAAACGAAAAGAAAAGACAAUCCUCAGAAUGGGAGAAGAUAUUUGCAAAAGAAGCAGCUGAAAAGGGAUUCAUCGCCAAAAUAUACAAACAGCUCAUGUAGCUCAAUACCAAGUAAACAAAGAACCCAAUCAAAAGAUGGUCUUCAAAAAAAUGGGCAGAAGACCUAAAUAGACAUUUCUCCCAAGAAGACGUACAGAUG